AUUGAACGCUGGCGGCAUGCCUUACACAUGCAAGUCGAACGGUAACGGGCCUUCGGGUGCCGACGAGUGGCGAACGGGUGAGUAAUACAUCGGAACGUGCCCGAUCGUGGGGGAUAACGAGGCGAAAGCUUUGCUAAUACCGCAUACGAUCUACGGAUGAAAGCAGGGGACCGCAAGGCCUUGCGCGGACGGAGCGGCCGAUGGCAGAUUAGGUAGUUGGUGGGAUAAAAGCUUACCAAGCCGACGAUCUGUAGCUGGUCUGAGAGGAUGAUCAGCCACACUGGGACUGAGACACGGCCCAGACUCCUACGGGAGGCAGCAGUGGGGAAUUUUGGACAAUGGGCGCAAGCCUGAUCCAGCCAUGCCGCGUGAAGGAUGAAGGCCUUCGGGUUGUAAAAUGCUUUUGUACGGAACGAAAAGCCUUCUUUUAAUACAGGAGGGUCAUGACGGUACCGUAAGAAUAAGCACCGGCUAACUACGUG
rnacentral:rRNA from 1 species